UACGGGGGGAGCAAGCGUUGUUCGGAUUUACUGGGCGUAAAGGGCGCGUAGGCGGCGUAACAAGUCACUUGUGAAAUCUCCGGGCUUAACCCGGAGCGGCCAAGUGAUACUGUUGUGCUAGAGUGCGGAAGGGGCUACUGGAAUUCUCGGUGUAGCGGUGAAAUGCGCAGAUAUCGGGAGGAACACCAAUGGCGAAGGCGGUUCUCUGGGACGGUACUGACGCUGAGACGCGAAAGCGUGGGGAGCGAACAGG
rnacentral:rRNA from 1 species